UACGAAGGGGGCUAGCGUUGCUCGGAAUCACUGGGCGUAAAGGGUGCGUAGGCGGGUCUUUAAGUCAGGGGGGAAAUCCUGGAGCUCAACUCCAGAACUGCCUUUGAUACUGAAGAUCUUGAGUUCGGGAGAGGUGAGUGGAACUGCGAGUGUAGAGGUGAAAUUCGUAGAUAUUCGCAAGAACACCAGUGGCGAAGGCGGCUCACUGGCCCGAUACUGACGCUGAGGAGCGAAAGCCAGGGGAGCAAACGGG
rnacentral:rRNA from 1 species